UUGAAUUUACUUACUAAUAUCAUUGGGUCGAUUGAGGUAUGAUUCAUGAUUCCGUGCGUGUCGUGAGAAAGGUCCAUGGAACCUGAGAGAUUCAGAAAAGUCAUCCAAUGUCUCGUUGAAGUCUAAUCCUCCCAAGAUGUAGGAAACACAUUUCUUGUCCUACCAACUCUUUUAAGUCUCAUAAUAUAAAGAGGUCUAAAACUCUUGGAGAGAAUCGGGCAUUGGUGGACCGAAAAAGUGUGAAAAGCUCCAAUAGCCCUGCACCAUUAAGAAGCACCACU
rnacentral:lncRNA from 1 species